CUAUGAGACACUACCUCCCAUAUCCUUAUCUCUUCCUGUUCCACAGAAGGCUAGAAAACAGGAAAGCAAUAUGGAAACUCUAAUGUGGACCUCCACAGGAACAAAUCAUAUCCAUGUCAGGCGGCACCAAACCUAAAUCUGCUUCUGCCUCAGCAGACAGGACAUGUUGAGUUUGGCCAGUGAGUGCUGCAGGAUACUGGAGGGAGGGCAACAGAGAGGAAGGUUGUUCCCAAGAGAACUACACAAACAAUGACUGAAUGAAGAGCAAAUAAUUAUUACAUUAACAAUUGUCUAAGUACUCUAUUUUCUAAUGCAAGACCAUCUUCCACAGGAAGCCCUUCAUUGACCUGCUCAGAUGAACUCAGCUAUGUGACCUGCAAGUUUAUUCUUCCACUUAUUAUACUUACUUUAUCACUAUUUGUUCAGUGACUUCCCCAGGAGCAAUUAAAGCAGAAACCAUGCA
rnacentral:lncRNA from 1 species